rnacentral:rRNA from 1 species
GGCUUAGAGUUUGAUCAUGGCUCAGGACGAACGCUGGCGGCGCGCCUAACACAUGCAAGUCGAACGGGGUUGAGAGGAGCUUGCUUUUCUUGACUUAGUGGCGAACGGGUGAGUAACGCGUGAGGAACCUGCCUCAAAGUGGGGGACAACAGUUGGAAACGACUGCUAAUACCGCAUAAGCCCACGGUACCGCAUGGUACUGAGGGAAAAGGAUUUAUUUGCUUUGAGAUGGCCUCGCGUCCGAUUAGCUAGUUGGUGAGGUAACGGCCCACCAAGGCGACGAUCGGUAGCCGGACUGAGAGGUUGAACGGCCACAUUGGGACUGAGACACGGCCCAGACUCCUACGGGUGGCAGCAGUGGGGAAUAUUGCACAAUGGGGGAAACCCUGAUGCAGCGACGCCGCGUGGAGGAAGAAGGUCUUCGGAUUGUAAACUCCUGUUGUUGGGGAAAAAGAGGAUGGUACCCAACAAGGAAGUGACGGCUAACUACGUGCCAGCAGCCGCGGUAAAACGUAGGUCACGAGCGUUGUCCGGAAUUACUGGGUGUAAAGGGAGCGCAGGCGGGUAGGCAAGUUGGGAGUGAAAUACAUGGGCUCAACCCAUGAACUGCUCUCAAAACUGUGUAUCUUGAGUAGUGCAGAGGUAGGCG